rnacentral:rRNA from 1 species
UACGUAGGGACCGAGCGUUGUCCGGAUUCAUUGGGCGUAAAGAGCUCGUAGGCGGCUGCUCAAGUCGAAUGUGAAAACUCGAGGCUCAACCUCGAGCCUGCAUUCGAUACUGGGCGGCUAGAGUCUGGUAGGGGAGUCUGGAAUUCCUGGUGUAGCGGUGGAAUGCGCAGAUAUCAGGAGGAACACCGGUGGCGAAGGCGGGAUCCGUGGGCCAGUACUGACGCUGAGGAGCGAAAGCGUGGGGAGC